rnacentral:rRNA from 1 species
UACAGAGGGUGCAAGCGUUAAUCGGAAUUACUGGGCGUAAAGCGCGCGUAGGUGGUUUGUUAAGUUGGAUGUGAAAGCCCCGGGCUCAACCCGGGAAGUGCACUCGAUACUGUCAAGCUAGAGUAUCGGAGAGGUUGGUGGAAUUCUCGGUGUAGAGGUGAAAUUCGUAGAUAUCGAGAGGAACACCGGUGGCGAAGGCGGCCAACUGGACGAAUACUGACGCUGAGACUCGAAAGCGUGGGGAGCAAACAGG